GACGAACGCUGGCGGCGUGCUUAACACAUGCAAGUCGAGCGGUAAGGCCCUUUCGGGGGUACGACGAGCGGCGAACGGGUGAGUAACACGUGGGUGACCUGCCCUUAGCUCUGGGAUAAGCCUGGGAAACUGGGUCUAAUACCGGAUAUGACUCCAUGACGCAUGUUGUGGGGUGGAAAGCCUUGUGCGGCUAGGGAUGGGCCCGCGGCCUAUCAGCUUGUUGGUGGGGUGAGGCCUACCAAGGCGACGACGGGUAGCCGGCCUGAGAGGGCGACCGGCCACACUGGGGACUGAGACACGGCCCAGACUCCGUACGGGAGGCAGCAGGUGGGGAAUCUUGCG
rnacentral:rRNA from 1 species